GCCGGGACCCGCCGCAUUCACGGGUUUUCGUCCUUCAGCCGCCGGCCGCGUACCGAGGGCGGCAGGCCUGAGCGGCAACAGUUUCUGCGCUUGAAAGCGGGUUCUGCGUUUCGGGUAACCUGCAGAGAAAUAAAACGCGUGAUAAAGCGUGUUGGCUGUGUUUAUAGGAGAGGGGUCGGAACAGGGCGUGCGUGCUAAACAUGGAGGAAGAUGAAGAGGAAGACUACAUGUCUGAUUUAUUUAUUAAACAGGAUGUAAGGCCAGGCUUGCCCAUGAUGAGGCGAAUGAAGGAAACUAUUCAGAAGGAAGAAAAGCAAAAAGAAGCCAAUGAGAAGAACAGACAAAAGAGUAUAAAAGAAGAAGAAAAAGAGAGACGCGACCUGGUAUUGAAAAGUGCAUUGGGCACUGAGAACAAAGGCUUUGCUUUGCUCCAGAAGAUGGGCUACAAGAGCGGCCAGGCCCUUGGCAAAAGCGGAGAGGGUAUUGUUGAACCUAUUCCUCUGAACAUAAAAAGAGGCAGAAGUGGGCUUGGUCAUGAGGAACUAAAAAAGCGAAAAGCUGAAGAAAAACUGGAAAACUAUAGACAAAAACUCCAUAUGAAAAAACAAGCAAAUGAACAAGCAGCAGAUCAGUUCAGAAUAAGAUUCAAAAACAAACAAGAAGAACGCAAGAUGGAAGGGGACCUCAGAAAAAGCCAGAGGGCCUGCCAGCAAUUAGAUAUGCAAAAAGAUAUUGAUGUUCCCAAGGAGACUUGGUUUUGGCUAGAACCUGAAGAGGAAGACAAGAAGGAUGAGGAAGACGAGGAAGAUGAAUGCACAAGCUCAGACAGAAGCGUAUCAGAAAAGCUACACAUCCUGACUGCCUAUUUGAGAGAAGAACACUUCUACUGCAUUUGGUGUGGAACAACCUAUGAAGACUCUGAAGAUUUAUCUUCGAACUGCCCUGGAGACAGUGCUGCAGAUCAUGACUAGAGCCUUUCUAAAGGAAGGAGUCCUAGAUAAGUAUGUGUAGUUCAUAACAUCUUUUAGAAAGUUUGGAGCUGUGCCAUACUGAAGAAUUCAUACCAAAGUAUGCAGAAGAAUAGUUAUGUUGACAGGUUAAAUUCACAUUUCAAAGCAUCUUAUGGAUCUUCUGCUUGAUGCACAAUUUAAUAGGAAUUAAAACUUUGCAUUUAUCAUUGAACUACCAUAAUUGAGAGGCAGGUUAAGCCUUCCACAGUCUUUGGUUAUGCCCUGCCCAACUGAACAAGAGCAGCUGAUAAUAAAAUUCGAGUUUGAGUAAGGGAAUAAAUAUUGGCUAGUUACCCUGUUGUAUAAUGUGUUAAAUGCUUUUUUUUCAUCUUUACAGAGAUGA